rnacentral:lncRNA from 12 species
UAAAAUCAUGUAAUAAUAACUUUACUUGUAUAAUCAUGACAAUCACAAUAAAUAUUCUGGUCUUUCCAUGCAUUACCUAAUUUCAUGCUCACAACAACCACAGUGAAGUAGGUGCUACUACCAGGGUACCCCUUUUAUAAAUUUAAGAGAAGGAGACUUGGAGUGGGGCCUGGAUUGCUACCCCAGUAGAGGUAGACUCAAGAUGCAAACCCAGGUUGUCUGACACAGAGUCUGAAAUCCUGAACAUUACCCAACACUGCCUCCUGUAUUAUUCUAAUGUAUCUCUUUGUCUCAGGUGGACUAUGGGUAUGUGAAGAUGAAUGAGUGGGGAGCCUGUAAUGCCCCAGGUUCUCAUAGCUUGGUGCAUUUUUCUCAUUUUAGCUUGUGUGCUAGCCACGUGCAAAGGCACAGGGUGGAAGUGAAUUGAAGUCCUCUGCUUCUUCAUACACAUUCAAGACUACUCAGAAGUCUCCUUUUCUGGGAAGCCUGCCUGACUACUUGUCCUCCUCCUGCAUUGUUGGGUUCACAUAUGUAAUAUAUGCCUUCCAGUUCUUACCAGGCUGUUUAUAUGCCUGUUAUAGUCAAAAGACUUGCUCCAACCAGACGUGUCUCAAUUGCAAGAGUAUAUAUGGCCUAAGCUCCAGUUGGGAACUCUGUAUACACAUUGAGGAGUUUACUGCAUAUACAAAAGUAUGUAUUUAUUAAAUUAUUUUUUCACUUAGUGGUAUCUUGUCAUUUUCUCAUGUCAUUAAAAAUUCUGCAGAAAUAGUAUUUAGUCAUUUGAUUUCAUAGCAGUACCCUUCUCCUUCUCCUGUUUUUGGAAAUUGCAUCCCCCUUUUUUGCUUACAUUAUACAGAAAGCUGAGAUGAAUAUCUUUAUCCAUAAAUCUUUACUCAGGUUCUUUUUUUUUUUUUUCCUCAGGUUCUUAUCUUAAGAAAAUAAUCAAGCACUCAGCAAAAGGUAUGUGUGUAUGUGUUUUAAAUGACAACCAAUAAUAAUGCCAGAUAACUUUCCAGAAAGUUCAUACCAAGUCAAUUUGAUAGGCAGAAAUGCUAUCUCAUUUUUAUUUUAAUUUCUACUUCUCUGAUUUUUGGUGUUGUCAACUAAAACCAUUUUUUUAAGUCUUUGGUGUAGACUAAAAAAUGGUGUAAUUUUUCUUUCUAGCCAUUAAUAAAUAUCUACUAUGUGCUGAGAAAUCA